UGCGUAGGCGGAUUGUUAAGUCAGUGGUGAAAGUCUACGGCUCAACCGUAGAAGUGCCAUUGAUACUGGCAGUCUUGAGUACAGUAGAGGUAGGCGGAAUUUAUGGUGUAGCGGUGAAAUGCAUAGAUACCAUAAAGAACACCUAUAGCGAAGGCAGCUUACUAUACUGUAACUGACGCUGAGGCACGAAAGCGUGGGGAGCGAACAGGAUUAGAUACCCUGGUAGUCC
rnacentral:rRNA from 1 species